GACGAACGCUGGCGGCGCGCUUAACACAUGCAAGUCGAACGGAAAGGCCCUGCUUUUGUUGGGUGCUCGGGUGGCGCAAGUGUGGGAAACACGAGAAUAACCUGCCUUUUCCUUUGGGAUAACUUCAGGAAACUGGGGCUACUACCGCUUAGUCGCGCCUGCUGCAUGGUGUGGGUUGGAAAGUUUCGGCGGAUGGGGAUGGACUCGCGGCUUAGCAGCUGGUCGGUGGGGUAGUGGCUUAGGAAGGCUGUGACGGGUAGCCGGCCUGAGAGGUUGACCGGCGACAUGGGGACUGAGCGUAGGCCCAGACGCAUACGGGAGGCAGGAGCGGGGAACAGUGGACAAUGGGCGGGAGGCUGAGGCAGCAACGCCGCGCGUGGGAUGACGACCUCCGGGUUGUAAAGAGCUUUCGCCCUUGAUGAAGCGGGAGUGACGGUAAUGGGUAAAGAAGCACCGGCUAACUACGUG
rnacentral:rRNA from 1 species